ACACCCUUGUUGCCCGUUAGGAAGCCAGG
rnacentral:piRNA from 1 species